GUUCCUGUAACGCAAUGGACAGCGAGCGCAUUGAACUUCCAAUCCAAAGUUCGUGGUUUCCAAUUCCACCUGAUAUG